AUGGAACGAUGGCCGCCGGACCUCCUCCAUGUUGGCUUCUACCAGCGUGCCCUUCCUCAUCCUCGUCGUUCAUCACCUGGCUGCCGGAGUCGCAAGAGAACGCCAAGCCCCACCAUGGUCGCCAGGGCCUUCCCCGACCUCGAUCCGCCAAGUCCGCCGGCGGGAACAGCCUUCACCGCUCGGAUCCGUCGAUCCCUCGACCUGCCGCCUCGGAUCCCGGCGACCCCAGUUCGCCGUUGCCGCGCCGAGACCUGA
rnacentral:rRNA from 1 species